rnacentral:pre_miRNA from 1 species
AUAGUAUUCCCUCCAUCCCAAAAUUCCUGUCUUACAUUUUUUUAGAUACGGAUGUAUCUAACACUAAAAUGUAACUAGAUACAUCCGUAUUUAGACAAAUUUAAGACAAGAAUUUUGGGUCGGAGGGAGUACAAA